rnacentral:lncRNA from 1 species
GGGCGGGGCCUUCUGUGGCGCCACUUCCUCCUCCAGCCAGCUUUAGCCUGCUUUCCUUCUGUUGUCGCCCACUUUCCUUCAUUUUCGCUCUCUUUCCUUACGGAUAUCGGCCCCUUUUCUUCCUCUCAUAGCCCGCGUAGGUGUCCAGAUGCUCCCGAAACGGCGGCGAGUGCGGGUCGGCUGUCCCGGUGGUGCUGUCACUUCCUCCACUUCGCCCUUAGUGCUCUUUCCCGGCGUCGCCAUCUACCUGGCUGAACCGCGCAUGGGCCGUAGCCGCCGGGCCUUUCUCACACGCCUGGCGCUGUCGAAGGGCUUCCGUGUCCUCGAAGUCUACAGGUGUGCCUACCUCUGCGUGGGGCACUGCGAAGAUCUGAUGUUGGUGUGGGGCCGGCUAAGCAGGCUUUUUCGCUGGGCCCGUUCAGAGACCCAGGUGACACAUAGCAUGCUCCUGCGGGGCGGCUGCACCUGCGUUAUUGGAUUCCAAAUUAUCUGUGGCUCUUUGGUCAAGUAAUCUUUCUUGAAAGGGAUUUUUAAAAAUUUUUAGGUACUGGGUAUUGAAUCCAAGGGCCCUUUACUGCAGAGCUACAUCCCCAGCCCUUUUUAUUUUUAUUUUUUUAAAGAUAGGGUCUUGCUAAGUUGCAGAGGCUGGCCUUGAACUUUUGAUCCUCCUGUGCCAGCUUUCCCAGUCACUCAGAUUACAGGCAUAGAGCCACAAUCCCAGCAAAGUUGCUAUUAAGAUUGCUAGGAAUGUUCCACAGGAUUAUUGACAAUCAAGCCAGAGGCUUUUCAAAGAGCCAUUCAGGGGAGAGGUAAUUACAAGUAGUAUUUGCCCACGUGCCCUAGAAGCCACAUUGAGCCAUCCUGAAACCUUGAACCUGGAAUAUAACUGGCGCUCUCAUAGGGAGGCAAUCAAGACAGUGCCCAGAGAGAGUAGUUUUGAGAUGGGGAAGCUAAGUGGACUUGGGACCAGUGCUUCCCAAAGCUUUUAUUUACUAUUUUGUAUUUAAACAUCUCCAGGGAAGGAUAGUGCACCAGACCCGCUCACACAGUGCACAUGAUGCAACUUUUACAAUAGCUCUACCAGGUAGUAGUUAUUUCUGUUUUAUAGAGGAGGAUGAAGGGAGACUAGACUUGCCCAAGGGCACACAGCAAGUUCUCAGGGCUGGGGUUCAGACAAAAGUAUGCACUGUCCGGCAUCUGUGCUUAAAUCCUAGCUCUUAAAUAAAGACCAUGUGGUGCCAGACCAUAAGGCAUUCCUUUCUCUGAGGUUGAGAAGGAUACAGGCAAGUCAACACAAAGCCAGGUUGGCUUGUGAGCAUAACUGGAGCAGAAAACCUCAAUAUAAGAGCGGUGGAAAUUUUCAUACACCAGGAGGGGCUUGAGAAGGCUUUCUGGAAGAGGUGGCAUUUGAAGAAUGAAAGGCAGUCACCAUGCAGAGGGGACAGCAACAAUAAAAGCUUAAAGGUAUGGAGCCAAACAGGAAGGUCAAUGGAUUUCACAGUCCUCCUCUGCCUUUGCCCAGCUCCGAGGUGACACAUGUGGUGAUGGAACAGACCUCAGUGAAGGAGGCCAUCUGCUGGCAGAAGCACAUGGCUGCUGCUCUCCCGUGCUGUCCCCACCCAGCUCUGCUGGACAUCAGCUGGUUCACAGAAAGCAUGGCAGCUGGGCAGCCUGUCCCUGUGGAGGACCGGCAUCGCCUGGAGGUAAGACAGUUCAGGCCUAACUCAGUUGGGAUAGGUGAUGCGCAGCAGCAGUGCCCCAGUGCCCUCCAGAGGGCUCUGCUCAGAUCACCUGGGGUGCCUGAGAAUCAGCAGAGAAGCCAUGGCAAGAGCUGGGGCUGGACCAUCCCAGCUUCUGUCCUCACCACUUGAGGUUCACUUAUGUUUAGCUUCUUCAUGCCUUCCAAAGUGGGGCAGCCCCUGCAGCUGGGGCUUCACUUCUUCCUCAAUGAGUAAUUGGGAUGAUCCAUGGAUUGGUAGGAGCCUAUCCUUGGGACUCUAGAGAGCUAGACUGCUUGUACUCAAAUCCUGGCUCUACCUGUGAGCCAUGAGGGAGGAGGCAUGCUCCCUAACCUUGAAACUUUAGUGUCCCCAGCCCACUUGAUUGUGAGGAUUUGGGGAGGCAGGAAAAGUGCACUGUGAGGAUUAACAGAUUAUUGCUACUACUCUGGUCUGAAGAGCCUUGUCCUCAGUUUGUUCUGCAAUGUAGUCUGUCUGUCCCUCCAUAUAGGGCUCUGAACCACCAAGACCCAUUGCUGUGUCUCCCUCUGCCCAUGCCUGUAGUUCACUACCUCUGUCCUGUGAACUCUAGAGGGCCCAAGGUGAAUGCUCAGGAGAGUCAGGACUCUGAUUGCUGCCUGUUUCUGUCAGCCCUGAAGCCUCAUGAUCUGUGCAUUGCCCUUCUGCAGGUGGUUGAGCCCAGGAAUGAGCCCCCAAGCCUAGUGUGGGUGUCGAUUUAUGCCUGCCAGCGUCCCACACCCCUCACACACCACAAUACCAUCCUCUCGGUGAGUCAUGUCUGUGAGAAAUUUUUAGCUUUCAGGGGACAGGGACAUGGGUACAGCUGGAUGGUAGCUGGUAGAUUGAAGCAAAGUGUCCUGCCCACUCUGCCCCUUAACCAAGGGCCUCUCCCUGCAGGAGGCCUUGGAGACUCUGGCAGAGGCAGCAGGCUUCGAAGGCAGUGAGGGCCGCCUCCUUUCCUUCCGCAGAGCAGCCUCUGUGCUCAGGGCCCUUCCUUGCCCUGUCACUUCCCUGAGUCAGCUGCAGGGGUUGCCCCACUUUGGAGAACAUUCUUCCAGGGUUGUCCAGGUAGGUGUCUGCCAUGUGUAGCCAGGUGAGUAGGUGGGGUGGGGAGGCCCUGGGGCCCAGUGAAACAGCCACGAGUCCUGGUAUUUCAGACCCCAAUGUGGAGAGACAAACAUGCACAAAGAUGCUGCUCCAAGACCACCACAGCCCACCUUUAGCACAGAUCCCUUGUGAGUCACUUACCUCCCUCAGAGUGCCUGAGAGGACUCGAUAAAGGGAGCUUCUGGCAUUGGUGUCAUUGUCAUUUGUCCCAAACUGCCCAGGGUGGGGGAAGAGAGCAACCAAGUGUAAGUUUUUGAAAACCCACAUGUUAAGCUGCCCUUCUGUGCACUUUCACUGUGAGAGCACAAAGUAAACAAAAGAUGCUUUUAGAUAAACUGAUACAUGUUUUUAAAAAGAAAAUGUUUAUAGAUCCUGGAGCUAUUUUAUCUGAGAGAUGACCAGUAUUACCUGGGACCUAAGCUGUUGUAACUCUAACCUCAAGGAGCUUUGAAGCUAGAGCCCCAUCUCAUCCCCCAGUUGUGUGGCAGCAGCUUUUGUCACUGCCCUGGGCACACUGUCCAUUGCCAAGUCCCACUGUAUCCUCAUAUCACAAAGCCCCUGUCUGUAGGGUGUGGAAAGGACCCCCAGCCCCUACCCUGACUGCUGUUCUCUUUCCGGUUCCUGUGGCUCAGUGUUUUGCUUUGUCUCCUCCCCCAGGAACUGCUGGAGCAUGGAGCAUGUGAGGAGGUGGAGAGAAUUCGUUGCUCAGAGAGGUACCAAACCAUGAAGGUGCGCAGGGAACUUGACAAGGGUGCACAGCACUGUCCAAAGCACUUACAAGGGAGGCAAGCAGGGGUGGCUGAUCCAGCUCUGGGGUCAGAGAAGGUCUUACUGAGGAAAUGGCAGCUAAGCAGACACCUGAUAUGCUCUGGCCACCAAAUGAAGACAGGCAGAAGCCUGUUUUGAGCAUGGGGAGUUUUCUAGAUCACUGAGAGCACCAUCUGUUUUAUUAGACUGUUUUUGACAGACUAAUUUUAAGCAUAUUAGCACACUGAACAAACUAUAACCUAUUCUUGGGUGCUAUAGGACCCAAGUUGUGUGUAGUAGGGCUGCCACUUUACACUGUGCUUUCUGUGAUCUUGUGUGUUACUUUUUCUAUACUGUGGGCCCACCUGUCUCCAUGGUGCAUCUUCCCCCUGUGCCUGCUCACUGCUAACCUGGUAGGGAGGCACCUCCAACACUUCUGGAUACCUCAGUUUAUCUUCUCAGACAUUCCAAAAUUCUUGGGAAGAGUCUGAGUGCUUGGCCCAGUGGCAGGUGAAGUGCUUGGCCCAGGGUCCUCUGAACUGGUCCAUGUUCAGACCCUCUCCACUCCAUCCCUUUGUGUAUGGGUGAGAGCAGCACCCACCAUCCUGAUGUUCUGGAGGCUUGAGUAAACCCAGCUAGCCUAUCCAGUACAUUUGCUGAAGCCACUCUCUCAUUUAUUAACUCCAUGUUGUUUUUGCUGUUUCUUGAAGAGAACCAUAGACAUAAGUUCCAGCUGCU